AUGUCUGGAUAGUGUCAGCAGGGCCCCUUAAGAAGCAUCCUGCUAGGUGAGCUGAGGCUGGUGGGAGUCCUGCUGUGAUCAGCCCAGCCCCAGUCCACCAAGUAGGACCUGCUGGCCUCCUUGAGCUGCCUGUGGGAAAGGUGGAGAGGGGACCAGCAGAGGAUGAGAAGAUCAAGAACACAGGCUGGUGGGAAGGCUCUGUGGGUGAAGACGGUUGCUUCCCUACUUGAUAGCCUGAACUGACUUCCAUAAGGUGUCCUCUGACUGCUACACCUGUGCUUUGCACCCCUCCCGGUAAGGUCACGGACCAGCUAGGAUGUGCCAGAAAAUGUGCACAGAUAGGCAGCAAGCAAGCUCACAUCAGGGCUCACAAGAUGGCUCAGUCAAGGCUCACCACCUGAUUUCUAUCUCUGGGACCCACAUGGUAGGAGAGAACUGACUUCUGCAAGUUGUCCUCUGACCUCCACAUGAAUGAAUGGCCUCUGAGCAACCCACACAUGCAUAGAUAGAAAAAUAAAUAAAAUACAAAGCAUAUCAAUCACGUAAGCAAAUAGAA